rnacentral:rRNA from 1 species
UACGGAGGGUGCAAGCGUUAUCCGGAUUCACUGGGCGUAAAGGGUGCGCAGGCGGUUGUGUGUGUCAGGUGUGAAAGCCCGGGGCUUAACCCCGGAAUUGCGCCUGAAACUACAUGACUAGAGCAUUGGAGAGGGUAGCGGAAUUCACGGUGUAGCAGUGAAAUGCGUAGAUAUCGUGAGGAACACCAGAGGCGAAGGCGGCUACCUGGACAAUUGCUGACGCUCAGGCACGAAAGCGUGGGGAGCAAAAGGG